CGUAGGUGGCAAGCGUUGUCCGGGUUUAUUGGGUUUAAAGGGUGCGUAGGCGGCCCUGUAAGUCAGUGGUGAAAUAUCUCAGCUUAACUGAGAGGGUGCCAUUGAUACUGCGGGGCUUGAGUACAGAUGAGGUAGGCGGAAUUGACGGUGUAGCGGUGAAAUGCAUAGAUAUCGUCAAGAACUCCGAUAGCGAAGGCAGCUUACUAAGCUGUAACUGACGCUGAGGCACGAAAGUGUGGGGAUCAAACAGGAUUAGAUACCCUGGUAGUCCACACUGUAAACGUUGAUGACUCGAUGUUGGCGAUACACAGCCAGCGUCCAAGAGCAAUCGUUAAGUCAUCCACCUGGGGAGUACGCCGGCAACGGUG
rnacentral:rRNA from 1 species